AACCAUAGAAACCUGCGGAGUACCUGCGGAAGGAUCAUUACAGAGUUGCAAAACUCCCUAAACCAUUGUGAACGUUACCUAAACCGUUGCUUCGGCGGGCGGCCCGGGUCCUUCCCGGCGCCCCUCGGCCCUCGCGGGCGCCCGCCGGAGGUAAACCAAACUAUUGCAUUGUAUGGCCUCUCUGAGUCUUCCGUACUGAAUAAGUCAAAACUUUCAACAACGGAUCUCAGAUCGGAAGAG
rnacentral:misc_RNA from 1 species